UCCUCCUUGAGUCUGGUCGGAUAGAUGGUCCCUCAGGGAUUGAUUAUUAUGAACCACAUGCGGAUGAUCCACCGUCAUCCCAAAGUUGGUCCAAACCGGUUUACAUUGCUUUGUCUGGAUCCGCAAGAUGAGCAUAAGGAGCUUCUGGACGAUAACCCACCUAAACGUGCAGAACCAUUUUGACCCAUUCCUCCAUUAGUAAUUCUAUAGCUGUACAUACUGUCAUGCUUGAGGACAUAUAUUGCACACAGCAAUAGCAGUCAAAGCAGGUCAGUCACUUACAAUAAUAGCAGGAUUGUAUGAAGGCAUAUUUACUGCAGUUGUGCCAGAACUUUCAUCUUUCGUCACCAGUUCGCACUACUAACCUAGAGCCUCUCGAUCAUGAUAUUCCUCGCAAUGUCGAUUAGUGAUUCUACCUAGUUUUAUCUUCUAUUUAUCGUUCUUUUUAUUUUUAUUUGUACUUUUUUAUUGUUAUUUAUUUUUCUUCUUUUCCUGAUUGUUAUAUUUUUGAUGCACUUUAUUUUUAUUGUUAUUGUUAUUGUUAUUGUUAUUUCAAUUGUUUUUCUGUUUAUUCUGUUUUCUUUUUAUCUUAUCUUACUUUUGUCUAUUUUCUUAUUACUAUGCAUGGAAUGAAGUAAUUAAUUUAGGGUCUCUUAUAUUUUUAGAUUUCACUAUCUCUGCCAAUUUAUCCAAAUUUAGGGCAGUUCCAAUUCUCUUCCUCUCUUUCUUAUGAUACUUUGCUUAUUGUGAUUAAUUUUGUUUGUAUAUUGAGGGCGAUGUACAUCUUAAGUGUGGGGAGAAUUUGGUAUGUUAUGUGAUAUAGUCAUUGAAUUGUUGUUUGUGUUUAAAUAAUUUCCUUAAGUCUUAUAUUAGAGUUAAUUUUUCUAAAUUUGGAGUUUUUAUUGUUCUAUUUGGGAUUAAUUUGUGGAUUUUUAUGCUUGGUGUUAUUUAUACUUUAAGACACGAGAGAGUCAAGCAUGAUAAGUCAUUUUCAGAAAACUAUUAUUUUAGGUUGUCUCUCUGAACUACAGCAUUAUCUUAAAUUUUAAAUUUAUAAGUUUGACAUCAAAACCAUAAUUUUUUUUGUGAGCUUUUUAGCCUAUAGAGCAUUUACUUUUUCAUGCUCGUUUUAUUUUGGUUGUGAGUAUAUCAACUAGAUUUGUUAUUCUAGAACUUGUUUCGGUUAUACAUGUUGAGACCAAAUUAUCAAUUUAAUAUACGGAGAUGGUAAAGGCCCUUAGGGUUUAACCUUUAAACAAUUUACCUAUUGUAUUAUCCCCUAGUAAACCCUAUUGAUCCUAAUCCAUUUUUUUACUUAUCAAUCAUUCAUGUUAACCCAAAAACCACAUUAAUUUUGCAAAUCACCCUUUUUAUUGACUCCCUUUUUGUUUAGAUUCAAUUUGGUUAGUUGCUUGACUAUGAUUUAUCAUUUGUAUUGUCGAAUUUCUCUUGUUCUAGAAAAACCAAAAAAAAAAAAGGAAAAAAAUUUGAGUGAUCUUGAUCAAUUGAGAAAUUCACAUUUAGGUUAUAAACCUUACUAUCUUAUUUAAGCUUGAAUCGUUACUCUCACCUUUUGUAUAAAAGCUCACAUCUGCUCUUUAUUUCAAAUUGAUGUAAAUUCUUUUAAUUCAACAGAUGAUUUUUUUGGUUUGGUAACCUAUCAAUUCGACUCUCGAUUGUAAACACCUUUUAUGACUUUUUUUUGUACCCUUAACCUAAGCCCCGUUACAAUCUCGUAAAGACCUCUUGAUUGGUGUGUAAUCUCAUUUCUAUAAUUGUGGAGAUUUGAUUUUUAAGCAAGUCUAUGAUAAUAACAUUUCUUGUUUGACUAUUGAGUGCACAUUACUUGAAAUUUAAACACCUUGAGUGCUUUGAGUGAACGUUAGUGAGGGUGUUAAUUCUUGUUGAGUUUGAAUCUCAGAUAAUUAUUGAGAUAGGAGAGACGCCUAUAUUUUUAAGCCUUAAAAUUUUCUACUUGGAUUGCUUGUGUUUUGUAGUGUCAUUUUAGUUUAAAUUUCCAAUGCAUAAUUAUCUAUAGAUUACCCUAAGACAUUGUUGAUGAAAACAAUAAAUUAAGGGAAGUUAACAUAAAUGUGGGUUGAGAAUUUUUCUUGAGGAUAAGUAAACAUUUAAGUUUGGGGAUAUUUGAUAAGUGCUAAAAGUAACAUGUUUUAACCUCAUUCUUAACACGUUUUGGGUUAUUAUCUGAUGUUAAUUGUGAAUUUUAUACUCCUAAUCUUUUAAAUUCAUGUUUAAAUACUUAAUAGAGCACUUGAAAGCAAAAUGAGCGAAAAAAUGAUCAAAAAUCGGAGCGUCGAAGCAAGUUGAAGGAGCCACACAAGCUACACCUUUUCAUACAAUCAGACCACACGGGUGUGUGAUAGACCGUGUCGAUUUCACAUGAUUGUGCAUUGAACAACAGAAAAUCACAAUUUUUAGGUUUUUCGGGCAUUCUAAUAUGUAUAUAUGACAAAAAUAAAAAGAUAUGAGAGGGGCAUCAAAGAAACUCAAGAAAACAACUCGAAAAAUAUCAUUGAAGUCGACUUUGAAGCAGAUUUCCAUCAAGAUUGAAGAUUCCUAGUUGAUUUCUUAAGAAGUUAUCAUGAGUUUCUUUUAUUCUUUCGAUUAUACUGUAUAUUUGAUUUUUCUCUUUUGAAGCAUGAACUAAUUUUCUAAAUACAUAUGAGAGAUAAACCCUACAAUGAAUUAUGUUGUUUAAUUUCUAUUUUACGCAAUAAAUACUUAGUUUCUUAUUCUCAA
rnacentral:lncRNA from 1 species